rnacentral:rRNA from 1 species
CUACGGGAGGCAGCAGUAGGGAAUUUUCCGCAAUGGGCGAAAGCCUGACGGAGCAAUACCGCGUGAGGGAAGACUGCCUAUGGGUUGUAAACCUCUUUUUUCAGGGAGGAAUUUUGACGUGUACCUGAAGAAUAAGCAUCGGCUAACUCCGUGCCAGCAGCCGCGGUAAGACGGAGGAUGCAAGUGUUAUCCGGAAUCACUGGGCGUAAAGCGUCUGUAGGUGGUUGAACAAGUCAACUGUUAAAUCUUGAGGCUCAACUUCAAAAUCGCAGUCGAAACUGUUUGACUAGAGUAUAGUAGGGGUAAAGGGAAUUUCCAGUGGAGCGGUGAAAUGCGUAGAUAUUGGAAAGAACACCGAUGGCGAAGGCACUUUACUGGGCUAUUACUGACACUCAGAGACGAAAGCUAGGGUAGCAAAUGGGAUUAGAUACCCCAGUAGUCCUAGCCGUAAACAAUGGAUACUAGAUGUUGAACAGAUCGACCUGUGCAGUAUCAAAGCUAACGCGUUAAGUAUCCCGCCUGGGAAGUAUGCUCGCAAGAGUGAAACUCAAAG